rnacentral:rRNA from 1 species
UGAACGCUGGCGGCGUGCUUAACACAUGCAAGUCGAACGGAAAGGCCCAAGCUUGCUUGGGUACUCGAGUGGCGAACGGGUGAGUAACACGUGGGUGAUCUGCCCUGCACUUCGGGAUAAGCCUGGGAAACUGGGUCUAAUACCGGAUAGGACCACAUUUUGGAUGGUGUGGUGGAAAGUUUUUCGGUGUGGGAUGAGCUCGCGGCCUAUCAGCUUGUUGGUGGGGUAAUGGCCUACCAAGGCGUCGACGGGUAGCCGGCCUGAGAGGGUGUACGGCCACAUUGGGACUGAGAUACGGCCCAGACUCCUACGGGAGGCAGCAGUGGGGAAUAUUGCACAAUGGGCGCAAGCCUGAUGCAGCGACGCCGCGUGGGGGAUGACGGCCUUCGGGUUGUAAACUCCUUUCGCUAGGGACGAAGCGCAAGUGACGGUACCUGGAGAAGAAGCACCGGCUAACUACGUG